GCAGCACUUAGGGGCAGUUUAUAUCAGCCUGCAAGAUAAAACACCUGGGCUAGUAUUGCCAGAGGAGCUGUAAUACUGUGCAAGGAGUACAAUCAGGUCCACAUUGGACACUGUGAAAUAGCAGUAUUCUCUUUUUUCCUCUGUCUGCCCAAGCCCAGAAUUGAAUUGAUUCUGGGGCUUUCAUGAAAUGCCAGCUGCUGGGAGCACAAACCAAAAGCAGACCUGGAAAGAGCAGAAACUGGACCAGAAGCUUUUACUUUCUCUAUACACAGCAUGUAGUUGCACUGAGGUGGGAAGAUGAAGUCAUUUUUCAAACCCUAAUUGGCAACAGUGGACAGGAGAAAGCCUGCAGAACAUAACCCAAGCAAGUCACUGAAGAUUCAGGCUUCAUUUGUGAACAGAACAAGCACAGACCAGGCUGAGGAGUGCCUGAGAGCCACUACUGCACAGAAGCACAACUGGACCCUGACAACAGCAUCACUGCCCAAGGAGCACUCAUUUCAAACAUCACUGAGUUUACAAAACUUGGGGGAAACUUACCUGACUUUGACUCUUCCUGCUGUGCCAAAGAUGACCAGGAGUUCAGUGGUGCAGUCAGCUGGAGAAAGAUGGUGAUGUAAGUCGCCAUUUCUUGAGAAAUCCUAUCAGAUAGAAAAAGAAAAACAGGUAUUAACGUAUAAUAAACAACUACCUAUAAUAGUAUAUUCAGUAUAUUAUAGUACUAAACUGUAAAACACAUUACAAAACGCUGCAAGUAUCAGAAGCACAGGGAAAUGACAAAUUUCAGAGCAUGAAAGUUAAUAGCCAAAGUAUAUUUCAUUAAAAUAUCUGGUUAUUCCAUUAAAAUUGUUUCCUUCAUAUGCAUUACCUCAUUUCAUAUGGAGCAAUUAAUAGUAUUUUACCUUCAAAUUCCUAUCUUAAUAACUAGCUAUUACUGCAUAUUAAGGAUUUUUAACUAUAGGAGAAUUACAGUAAUUAACUUUGUACCAAUUACCAGGGUGCAUAUUAAUAUUCAUAUACUUUUACGAAAAGAAUGAUCCUGAAAUCUCUCAGCAGGGAUGGUUAAAAUGAUUCAUUAAUGCUCUGUGCAGGUUUCUUUUCUAAUUCAUUAAGAAAAUAUUAGCAUAAUCAUGUGAAAUUAAUUUUCCUUAAAAGGUUAAUAUAAGCAAGGGAUUAAGAGGACUGGUACUAAUACAUGGAAACAUGGCUUGCAUCAUGCUCUUGGUCUCCAAAGGCGGACUAUCAUAUCUGAAGUAUUACUUGCCAGUGCACUUUGAUAAGGAAGAAUUAGUCAGAGAUAGAGCUAGUUGAGCUGAGGAUUUCCACAUUUAAAAAGAAAAAAAAAUAACAGGAUACAUGAGCUUUUUUUUAUGCUCUUAUAUUUUUCUGUUUCAUAGAGGUAAAGACUAAACACGUUACUCAACACGAACAAUAAGCUGAAAGAAUACGGUGAAGUGAUAGGCUAAAAAACAGGAAAAGAAUCGAGAGGCUAGAGCAGCUAAUGAUAAUAAAAGAUGAAGAGAAGGAGAGAGCCAAGAGAAGCAGCAAUCCAAAUCAAAACCAGAGAAGGAAAAGUAAAUAGCUUCCCAAGAAUAGUUUCAAGUAAAAAGAGAAAGCAAUCUCAAUAACAAAUAUCAGUGAAACAGUAAUAUCUCAUUCGUAGAUUCGCAUAAAAAGGCAUUUAAGGUACAAGGACAUUAAGGAAUCUUGUGCUAUUAAAUGAAGUGCCUCUUCAUAAAUACAGUCCUGGUACAACUAGGCAAAAAUAAAAUUAAAGAAGGAAAGUUUGAAGCUCACACUGAGUUAGAAUAAUGUCACAGAAACAAACCCAGGGAAGAAUGUGGGACAUGAGCUCUGAGCCAAGACAAGAUUUUUUUGUCAAUGCUACAUCUGGCACUGCUUUUCUAUUUUCCUCAGGGAAACAAUUCUUUCAAGUCAGCAUUGAGCUCCAUAGCAAAACCAAGUUCAACAGCACUCAAGUUCAACAGCACUCAAGUAGGAUCCAGAGACAGAACUGGUCAGCUGCUAAGAAAGGCCAUGAAUGCUUUUUAAUUUUCUUUGUGAGGAAAGCAUCAAACCAGUGGUUUGUAAUCAAAGGAUAUGCAAAGAGUUCAUUAGAAAGAUAACAACCUUCUCCCUUUCAGCCCUGUUCCUGAUAUCAGGUCUUGGGUUGGAGUAGGCUCUGGUGGGCUACGUGGCAAUUUCCCCCAGGGCAGGAGGUUCUGUGCAAGGUGACAUUUGAAAUGGAACAUUACUUUGUCAGUAGUAACCUCCAGCACUCAAGCCUGAGCUACCCCACCUUCAGUCCUAUGCAAUUCUCACACAGACAGUGUCCUUCUGAAUAGCCUUAGACCUUCAGGAAUGCAUAGGAGACAUGAUCCCAAGGAUGCCUGGGGGGGAGCUCCAAGAAGGUACACUUCAGGGCUCACUUUCUUCAGAAGUGAAGCUUCUUUGUUUUCUUUCAGCAAAUGAUUUUUCACCUGGAAGUUACACAGCACUUGUGUACUUUCAGUUCAGCAACUCAUGGACUUAACUCUGACUUCAUUGUCUUGAAAAUUUUUAAUGAUUUUAAUGUUUUUUCUCAUUAGUGAUG
rnacentral:lncRNA from 1 species